rnacentral:lncRNA from 1 species
UUGUGUUAUACGAUCAACUUGUGUUAUACGAUCAACUUGUGUUACACGAUCAACUUGUGUUAUACGAUCAACUUGUGUUAUACGAUCAACUUGCAUAGCAUAUGAGAUUAACAAGCAGUAAAAUGUUUCGUGUUUAAAUGUGGAUAGAGUGUGAAUGUAACAAGUUUCAAGUGUGGUGUAAUUUGAAUAUGAAAUACAUGUUGCACCCAAAGUGUUUAAAACGAAAAUGGGAUCGAGUAUACUCACCUUAGAUUGCGUUGCGAUUUCUUGUAAUAACGCACGAGUAAAUAAAUCCAAAAGGACGAACGUGAGAGGAAGAUGUACCGAAAGGUGACGACUCGUGACGUGAACUUUGGCGAGCUUGGUUCCCCGACUGAACUCCGAUGGUUUACGGGUUUCUCCGGCGAGUCUGGCAACAUCGGUUCCUCUCCGGUGACGACUAGCUGCCUCCGACAAGGUUCAAAGGUAUUGGCAAAGAGGUUGUGGUGGUGUCGAGAUGUUAUUGUGGUGAAGAAAAGAUGGUGUGAGCGAUGG